rnacentral:rRNA from 1 species
GUGGUACGUGAGCUGGGUUCAGAACGUCGUGAGACAGUUCGGUCCCUAUCUGCCGUGGGUGUUGGAGAAUUGAGAGGAUCUGUCCCUAGUACGAGAGGACCGGGAUGGACGUACCUCUGGUGGAGCAGUUGUGGCGCCAGCCGCAGUGCUGCGUAGCUAUGUACGGACGGGAUAACCGCUGAAGGCAUCUAAGCGGGAAACCCACCUCGAAACGAGUUCUCCCUGAAGAGCCGUGGUAGACCACCACGUUGAUAGGCCGGGUGUGUAAGCGCGGUGACGCGUUCAGCUUACCGGUACUAAUCGCUCGUUCGGCUUGAACGC